UCCUGACACAGGGAGGUAGUGACAAGAAAUAACAAUACAGGGCUCUCUGAGUCUUGUAAUUGGAAUGAGUACAAUUUACAUCUCUUCACGAGGAUCAAUUGGAGGGCAAGUCUGGUGCCAGCAGCCGCGGUAAUUCCAGCUCCAAUAGCGUAUAUUAAAGUUGUUGCAGUUAAAACGCUCGUAGUCGGAUUUCGGGGCGGGGCCGCCGGUCUGCCGAUAGGUAUGCACUGGCGGGCGCGUCCUUUUUCCCGGAGACGGCUGCUACUCUUAACUGAGCGGUGGUCGGAGACGGGAUGUUUACUUUGAAAAAAUCAGAGUGUUUCAAGCAGGCAGUCGCUCUUGCAUGGAUUAGCAUGGGAUAAUGAAAUAGGACUCUGGUGCUAUUUUGUUGGUUUUGAGCACCGGAGUAAUGAUUAACAGGGACA
rnacentral:rRNA from 1 species